CACAGAGCCCCACAUGGGGCUGGAAGUCCCCAACCGGGAGAUCAUGACCUGAGCCUAGGCCGAGAGUGCCAUCCUUAACCAACUGAGCCACCCAGGCGCCCCUGGGAAGUAUUAUUAUACCCUAAUGACACGUGCACCCCUCUGCAAAAGCCUGUCUGUGGGAUCUGGAUCCUGUCGGCUGCCCUCAGGCUCUGUCUUUGCAAAGUAGGAAGCCGGGGGUUCAGCAGGGAAAGGCACUGGGUGCAGCCGAGGCGGGCAGAUUGUAGAGCUGUGGGCUCCGGGCUGGGCCUGGGUGGAGGUUGUGAAAUUGUGGCCUAUACGAGUGGGCGUGACAACCUGUGUGAGUGUGGCUGAAUUUGGGUCUCUGUACGUGCCUAUGUAGCUCUGUUCAUGUGCGAAUAUAUUUUCUCGUUUCCCUGAUGGGGUGUGACUGUGCACGUUUCCUCUGCUUUGUGUGACUGUGUAUACAUGUCUUUGUCAGCGUGUCACUGUAUCUGUGUGCGUUCCUGUCUGCUUAUGAUUGAAUCUGCCCCUGGAUAGCCCAGAUUAUGGGAUUUUUCGUGUCCCUUUCCCGUGGGACUCUGUGUCACCGUGUCCCCUCGUGAUAUUCCCUGCGUGUCUUUGCGUCGGCCUGUCUCCACGGCCACCUCCUUUUCAGCCCGAGCUCCCUUUGGGCCCCAGCGGAGGUGUGCAGUGGUGGGUAGGGGGUUAAGGCCCCUUUCCCAGAGCUGCGAAACCCCGCCCCACCCUGCCAGCCUCCUGACCUGACACACCACCUUACCUCUCCGCAGCCUUGGGGCGGGCGGCCCAUGGAGCCCGGGCUGCUGCGGCCGGCGCCGGUGAGCGAGGUCAUCGUCUUGCAUUACAACUACACAGGCAAGCUUCGCGGAGCACGCUACCAGCCCGGCGCCGGGCUGCGUGCGGACGCUGUCGUGUUCCUGGCCGUGUGCGCGCUCAUCGUGCUGGAGAACUUGGCGGUGCUGAUCGUGCUGGGGCGCCACUCGCGCUUCCACGCGCCCAUGUUCCUGCUCCUGGGCAGCCUUAUGCUGUCCGACCUGCUGGCGGGCGCGGUCUAUGCCGCCAACAUCCUGCUGUCGGGGCCUCUCACGCUGCGCCUGUCGCCCACGCUCUGGUUCGCGCGUGAAGGGGGCGUCUUCGUGGCGCUCGCCGCGUCCGUGCUGAGCCUCCUGGCCAUCGCGCUCGAGCGCCGCCUCACCAUGGCCCGCCGAGGACCCGCACCCGCCUCCCGUUGGGGACGCACGCUGGCGCUGGUGGGCGCCGCCUGGGGCGUGUCGGUGCUUCUCGGACUACUGCCCUUGCUCGGCUGGAACUGCCUGGGCCGCCUGGACGCCUGCUCCACCGUCCUGCCGCUCUACGCCAAGGCCUACGUGCUCUUCUGUGUGCUCGCCUUCCUCGGCAUCCUGGCCGCCAUCUGUGCGCUCUACGCGCGCAUCUACUGCCAGGUGCGUGCCAACGCGCGCCGCCUGCGGGAGCGCCCCCGGGCCGCGGGGGGCGCCUCCGCUCGGGCACGCCACACGCCGCGCUCGCUGGCCCUGCUGCGCACGCUCAGCGUGGUGCUCCUGGCCUUCGUGGUGUGCUGGGGCCCUCUCUUCCUGCUGCUCUUACUCGACGUGGCGUGCCCAGCGCGCGCCUGCCCCGUGCUCCUGCAGGCCGACCCCUUCCUGGGUCUGGCCAUGGCCAACUCGCUUCUGAACCCGAUCAUUUACACGCUCACCAACCGCGACCUCCGCAACGCCCUCCUGUGUCUCGGCCGCCGCGGCCGCUGCCCCUGCAGCAGAGGGCACGGCGCCUCCCAGGGGUCCGAGAGCGCUGCUGGGGCUUCGGGACGCUUGAGCCGCUCGCUGCCCCCUGGCUUGGACGGCAGCUCCAGCCGCUCCGAGCGCUCCUCACCCCAGCGGGACGGGCCGGACACUAGCGGCUCCACUGGCGGCCCGGGUGCGCCCACAGCCGCCCGGACCCUGGUACCGGCACCUGCCGCAGACUGACGCCCUUUGGCCCGCCAUUGCCCUCCCGAAGACCUGUUUUUGCAGACUUUUCUUCUUAAAUAAAGGGAUUUGUAGGAAAAGCAACCGAAGGUGGUGGAGACAGAAGAGAUGAAGGGAAAUGUACUUUAUUGAUGCUAAACCCCACAGCAGUGAACAAACAAAACAGACAAGAAUCGCGGCCCUUGUGGAAUUGACAUUCUGAUGGGGGGCACGGGCAAUAUCGGCGUGGGGAAAUCAUGGAGAUAAUUCCAGCUGCAAUACCGUGAUGCGAUGGUGGUCAGGGGAUGCUUCUCUGCUGGAGUGGUGACAUAUGAUGGGAACCUGAAGCUCGCUCCUUCGUUGGGUCCUUUGAUGGUAGGGGACUUAUCCACUUGUUCCAAUUUUACAAAAUUUGAAAAGCACCAGUUCCCCUUUUCGGACGUGAUCACCACGGGGAUUCCUUGGAAAGUUCCAGAGCUGUUCUGCGGAUAAAUGAGCUGACAUGUAAACACUUUUCUCUCUUUGUACAACUCUAGCAUUGCUUUGCACCUUGCUUUGUUCACUUAAUAGUAGAUCUUGGGGGGAAUUGUCGCCUA